CCCCCCUGGCAAUGGGCAAAGAGGCACCUUGUUGUUAAUGGUGUUGUUCUUCCAUCAGUCAGGUAGAGGGUGCAGUCCUAUGUUCAUCCUAGAUUGAUGCCUGGCUUGGCGGCCAAACCUGUCUUCUGCCUAGGACUCAUUA
ensembl:snoRNA LOC120093975 small nucleolar RNA SNORA48